CAAAGACCUUGGAAAAUCUCCCUGCCUCCAGCAGCUCAUCCUUCCCUCUCUAACAUACUUACUCCUUGCAGGCUGUCCCAGCUCCUCAUAGCCAUCUGCCACCACUGGCAGGUGAGGAGCGAGGAAGAGGAGCCAAGCGGGGACAGGAGAAGAAGGUCACAGUGGGGGCGGCGGGGAAGAUGGCUGUGCUCUUCACAGAAUCACAGAAUUUUAAAGGUUGCAAGGGACCUCUGGAGAUCAUUUAGUCCAAGACUCCUGCUAACGAAGGUUCCUUAGAACAGAUUGCAGAGGAAAGCCUCCAGGGUCAGUGACUAUGGUAAGAAGAAAAUGAAGAAAAGAUGUGCAACUGCAUUCCUCCAUAUGAAAAAAAAUGGCACCCACUGACAUUCAUCAACAGUUGCUGAGCAUUUAUGGAGACCAAACUGGAUGUGAGCAAUGUGAGCAAUGACAGUGAG
rnacentral:lncRNA from 1 species